AUUGAACGCUGGCGGCAGGCUUAACACAUGCAAGUCGAGCGGGGUGAUGGUGCUUGCACUAUCACUUAGCGGCGGACGGGUGAGUAAUGCUUAGGAAUCUGCCUAUUAGUGGGGGACAACAUCUCGCAAGGGAUGCUAAUACCGCAUACGUCCUACGGGAGAAAGCAGGGGAUCACUUGUGACCUUGCGCUAAUAGCUGAGUCUAAGUCGGAUUCGCUAGUUGGUGGGGUAAAGGCCUACCAAGGCGACGAUCUGUAGCGGGUCUGAGAGGGUGAUCCGCCACACUGGGACUGAGACACGGCCCAGACUCCUACGGGAGGCAGCAGUGGGGAAUAUUGGACAAUGGGGGGAAACCUGAUCCAGCCAUGCCGCGUGUGUGAAGAAGGCCUUAUGGUUGUAAAGCACUUUAAGCGAGGAGGAGGCUCUUUUGGUUAAUACCCAAGAUGAGUGGACGUUACUCGCAGAAUAAGCACCGGCUAACUCUGUGCCAGCAGCCGCAGUAA
rnacentral:rRNA from 1 species